AGCAGGGCAGGGCCCUGCAGGCCGUGGGGCUACAGGUUCUGCGGCUUCCUGACCUAGCUCAGCACAGGAGCGGCGUCAUGCUGGGAGGUCCUGGGAGGGGGGGCCGAGACAGCCCUUGGCUUGGGGAGAACCCCCCCACCGGGGAGGAUGGAUGCUGUCUGCCAGGGACCCCACCCGUUCACUUAGGAAGCUCUGGUGGAGCCGAUGGUGCCGGGCCCAGGGCCAGAGGGCAGCCUCUCUGCCAAGGAAGGAACGCAGCCCCCGGCGGCUCAGAAGCUGGUGGAGCUGCCCCGACAAGGAGAAGCGAAGGGGUCCUCACCACCAGGCCACUAGCGCACGGAACGGCCAGGGCCGCCGUUAAAAAGGAGAAAAAUAAAAGACAUGAGCAA